CCUACGGGAGGCAGCAGUGGGGGAUAUUGCACAAUGGGGGGAACCCUGAUGCAGCGACGCCGCGUGGGUGAAGGAGUGCUUCGGCAUGUAAAGCCCUAUCGGCAGGGAAGAAGCAAGACGGUACCUGACUAAGAAGCCCCGGCUAACUACGUGCCAGCAGCCGCGGUAAUACGUAGGGGGCGAGCGUUAUCCGGAUUCACUGGGUGUAAAGGGAGCGUAGACGGCCAUGCAAGCCAGGGGUGAAAGCCCGGGGCCCAACCCCGGGACUGCCCUUGGAACUGCAUGGCUGGAGUGCGGGAGGGGCAGGCGGAAUUCCUGGUGUAGCGGUGAAAUGCGUAGAUAUCAGGAGGAACAUCGGUGGCGAAAGCGCUUUACUGGACCAUUAUUGACGCUGAGGAACGAAAGCCAGGGGAGCAAAUGGGAUUAGAUACCCGAGUAGUC
rnacentral:rRNA from 1 species